UCCCGGCCCGGGGGCUUUGGCCGCAGAGCUCGCGGGUUCUGCAGUCUGGACUCGCAUGGGGAGAUCGCGAUGUUCUCCUCCCAGGCCGGCGGCCGGCCGCGAACGUGGGAGGCUAGUCCCUCAGAGCACAAGAAGUGGGUGGAAGUAUUUAGAGCAUGCGAUGAAGAUAACAAAGGCUAUCUAAGCAGAGAGGACUUUAAAGUUGCUGUUGUAAUGCUGUUUGGUUACAAGCCAUCCAAGAUAGAAGCUGAUUCUGUGAUGUCUUCAGUAGAUCCAAACACUUCUGGGAUACAACUUAAGGAGUUUUUAGACAUCGUAAGGAAAAAGAAGGAAGCUCAACUGUAUCGCAAUGAAGUAAGACACAUCUUCACAGCUUUUGACAGGCACUAUCGUGGAUAUUUAACUCUGGAAGAUUUCAAGAAAGCAUUUAAGCAGGUGGCUCCCAAGUUAUCAGAAAGGAUUAUCCUCGAGGUAUUCAGAGGCAUUUUCAGUUCCUGA
rnacentral:lncRNA from 1 species